AGGGGUCAGCUACCCAGGCACGGGAGGACCUUCAUUUUGUUAUCUGGCUUUCCACCCAAUACUUGCUGUCCAUCAGCCAAUCACUUCAAAUAUGUUUAUGCACCUGGGAAGAGCAAGAGAAUUGACUGCAACCCCAGGAGGAGUGAACAGAGGUGUCGGGGGUUGGGGAGCAGCACUCAGUGCAGAGGAGACCCCAACAGGAUGUGUCGGAGAAAGAACGCAGCCCGCCAGCCUCAGGCUUCCAAAGCAGGUAUUCUGGAAGGCCAGUCAGCAGGAAGGUGAAACUCCCCACCCCGGGCAGCCUCCUUCAAGCAGAAGAUCUCUCUUAGCCCACAGGGGACCACAGGACCUAACCUAGCAAAGGAGAUUUCGAUAUAAAAUUUCCUUUCCUGUUGGUCUGUCCUCAAAGAUUUCACAAAGAUUCACAUAAAUGCUUAGGGAAUCUAUGAACAAAAUCUCAGCAUUGUGUAGGCAAAGACCUACAUCUCUAAGAGUGAAUGGUGUAAAUGAAGACCCAUAUGAGGAAUCGAAGCAAAUUACUUUCUUCAAAGCAGCCUCAGUGCAACUAACUGGCACAGAGAAAACUUUUUGAAGAACUUUAUAUUCUCAAAGAUGUUUAAGAAAAUGUUACUUCAUUUCAAAAAAAAAUAAAGCACAGGCCAUCAUAAAAUAGAA